rfam:Otolemur garnettii contig172782, whole genome shotgun sequence.
CUGUGUCUUGCUUCAACAGUGUUUGAACGGAACAG